rnacentral:lncRNA from 1 species
GGGACUUUCACUCCAGCCUCCUUCACGCUGAGGUAGCUGCUGUCCAUGCCCGAGGGGUCGGCGUUGGGCUGCAAGUCAGCCUCUCCCAAGCUGCUCUCCUUACCGUAACAGGAGACCUGCAGGGCUCCGUUGUGGCCGCCGCUCUCCUGCAGCUUGAGGUUGCUCUCCGGGGGGGUCUUGCAGGGGCCGCGCUGCAUGUAGAGGUGCGGCGGCUGCUGCUGGGGCUGCGGGUAUUUGCUAAAGGCGGGCGGGGGCGCGGCGGGGCCCGGCGCCUGCCCGCUGCCGUCCAGGGACGGGCAUUCCUGCGGGCUGUAGCGGCUCCGGCACUUCGCGCCGCUGUCACCGAAGCUCUGUCCUUUGGCGGCCAGGAAAGCGGGGCCGAA